AUUGAACGCUGGCGGCAGGCCUAACACAUGCAAGUCGAACGAGUGGCGGACGGGUGAGUAAUGUCUGGGAAACUGCCUGAAGGAGGGGGAUAACUACUGGAAACGGUAGCUCAUAACGCAUACCAUCAGAUGUGCCCAGAUGGGCUUAGCUUGUUGAUGGGGUAAUGGCUCACCAAGGCGACGAACCCUAGCUGGUCUGAGCGGAUGACUAGCCACACUGUAACUGAGACACGGUCCAGACUCCUACGGGAGUCAGCAGUGGGGAAUAUUGCACCAUGGGCGCAAGCCUGAUGCAGCCAUGCCGCGUGUAUGAAGAAGGCCUUCGGGUUGUAAAGUACUUUCAGCGGGGAGGCGUUACCCGCAGAAGAAGCACCGGCUAACUCCGUGCCAGCAGCCGCGGUAAUUC
rnacentral:rRNA from 1 species